UCGGGUAUGGUGUAACGGCUAACAUUGCCGCCUCUCAUUGGAGUGUCCGCGGCAGCUCGGGGUUCGAUUCCCCGUACCCGAA